rnacentral:misc_RNA from 1 species
GAUGAAGAACGUAGCGAAAUGCGAUAAGUAAUGUGAAUUGCAGAAUUCAGUGAAUCAUCGAAUCUUUGAACGCACCUUGCGCCCUUUGACCAUUCCGAAGGGCAUGCCUGUUUGAGUAUCAUGAACACCUCAACUCUUCAUGGUUUUCCGUGAUGAGCUUGGACUUUGGGGGUCUUGCUGGCCUAUGGUCAGCUCCUCUAAAAUAAAUCAGCUUGCCAGUGUUUGGUGGGUAUCACAGGUGUGAUAACUAUCUACGCUUGUGGUUUUCCACCAGGUAACCUUCAGCAGUGGAGGUUCGCUGGAGCUCACAGAUGUGUCUCUCCUCAGUGAGGACAGCUCUUUGAAUGUUUGAUCUCAAAUCAGGUAGGACUACCCGCUGAACUUAAGCAUAUCAAUAAGCGGAGGA